CUUGGAAAGGGUAAGCCAAACACCUCUCGUGCCCGAUUCAACCUGGCGAGGUAGUUCGAAACUUCGAAUCUGGUUUCAAACCCUAAACGCCAAAUGCAAACCAAUUUGUUUAAGCCACCUUCAUCUUCCCCAUGCUCGCCGCUGAGUCUUGCGCAACCCUUUUACGAAGGUGAAAGCUCCAACUUCGACAGCCAGAGUCUCCUCAACUUCAGGCCUCGAAACCCUAGAAUCGGAGUCCAGCCGUUUGCCAUACAGUGAGGAUUUUGUUUUUUUCGGCACCUUUAAUACUGAUUCAAUCCUGCACAAUCAUAUCUUGCUUUACGCCGAAAUUCUUUGUGAUAAGGUUAGAAAGAAGUAUUAACCAUGAGUGAUUUCGAUUGCAAAAAAAUGAGAAAUAUAUGCAUUCUUGCCCAUGUUGAUCAUGGAAAGACUACGCUUGCUGACCAUUUGAUUGCCUCGUAUGGGGACGGAGUACUCCACCCAAAGCUAGCGGGUAAGGUUAGAUAUAUGGAUUAUCUUGAUGAAGAACAGAGGCGAGCUAUAACAAUGAAGAGCUCUUCCAUAUCCCUGCAAUACAAUGAUCAUUUUAUAAACCUCAUAGACUCUCCAGGUCAUAUGGACUUUUGUUGUGAGGUCUCUAGUGCUGCCCGGUUGAGUGAUGGGGCUUUGGUGUUGGUUGAUGCUGUUGAGGGUGUUCACAUUCAGACACAUGCAGUGUUGCGCCAAGCUUGGAUCGAAAAGCUUACCCCUGUUUUGGUGCUAAAUAAGAUUGAUAGGUUGAUAUGUGAAUUGAAGUUGAGUCCCAUGGAGGCAUAUACUCGGUUGCAAAGGAUUGUUCAUGAGGUUAAUGGAAUUAUGAGUGCCUACAAGUCUGAGAAAUAUCUUUCAGAUGUUGAUUCGAUACUUGCAGGACCAUCCAGUGAGGUAGGUGAUGGUAACCAAGAGUUCAUUGAGGAUGAUGAGGAAGAUACAUUUCAACCACAAAGGGGGAAUGUCGCUUUUGUGUGUGCAUUGGAUGGGUGGGGUUUUAGCAUUAUUGAGUUUGCAGAGUUCUAUGCAUCAAAACUAGGGGCUAGCACAACUGCAUUGCUGAAAAGUUUAUGGGGCCCUUGGUAUUUCAAUUCCAAGACUAAGAUGAUUGUGGGAAAGAAGGGAAUAAGUGGGGGAAGUAAAGCUCGCCCUUUGUUUGUCCAAUUUGUUCUUGAGCCACUCUGGCAGGUUUACCAGGCAGCUUUGGAGCCUGAUGGGGACAAAGGGGUACUUGAUAAAGUCAUUACAUCAUUCAAUUUGUCUAUACCUCCCCGUGAACUUCAGAACAGGGAUCCAAAAGCUGUGCUUCAAGCUGUCAUGAGUCGUUGGCUGCCUUUAUCGGAUGCAAUCUUAUCCAUGGUAGUUGAAUAUAUGCCAGAUCCAAUAGCUGCCCAAUCUUUACGGAUUGCACGAUUGCUUCCACAGAGAGAAAUUAUAAAUGAUGGCAUUCCUCCUAAUGUGCUUGCGGAGGCAGAGCUAGUAAGAAGAUCUGUUGAGGCUUGUGACUCACGUCCUGAUGCACCAUGUGUCGCUUUUGUGUCGAAGAUGUUUGCUGUUCCUGCAAAAAUGCUACCUCGAAAAGGCUUGAAUGGUGAGGUUUUAAACAAUUCUACUGAUGAAGGCAGGAAUAGUGAAUCUGAUGAGUGCUUCCUUGCAUUUGCACGGAUUUUUAGUGGGGUUAUUCAUUCAGGGCAGAGGAUUUUUGUACUUUCAUCUUUAUAUGAUCCGCUAAAAGGGGCAUCUGUGCAAAAGCAUGUUCAGGAAGCUGAGUUGCACUCCGUGUAUCUAAUGAUGGGUCAAGGCUUGAAACUAGUGGCAUCUGCAAAGGCUGGGAAUGUAGUGGCUAUUAGAGGUCUUGGCCAGCAUAUAUUGAAAAGUGCGACCCUUUCAUCUACAAAGAACUGUUGGCCUUUCUCAAGUAUGGUGUUCCAGGUUUCACCCACUCUUAAAGUUGCUAUUGAACCUUCAGACCCAGCUGACAUGGGUGCAUUCAUGAAAGGUUUGAAGCUCUUGAACCGUGCAGACCCAUUUGUAGAGGUCACUGUGUCAUCUAGAGGAGAGCAUGUUCUUGCUGCUGCUGGGGAGGUUCAUCUUGAGAGAUGUGUUAAAGAUUUGAAGGAUAGAUUUGCAAAAAUUAGCUUGGAAGUCUCACCGCCACUGGUCUCCUACAAAGAAACUAUUGAGGGUGAGUCAUCCAAUCCAUUAGAGAACUUGAAGUUGCCAACUGGAAGCUCUGAUUAUGUUGAGAAGGUGACCCCAAAUGGUAGAUGUGUCGUUCGUGUGCAUGUCUUGAAGCUUCCACCUGCAUUGACUAAGGUGCUUGAUGAGAGUUCUGACCUGCUUACAAGUAUUAUUGGAGGAAAAUUGGGCCAUUCAGACAAAAACUUUGGAACUCAGCUGACCAGUAUUGUAGCAGAUGAGAAUCCAAUUGAAACACUUAAGAAAAGAGUCAUGGAUGCUAUAGAGAGUGAUAUUCCUUCUGAGAGUGCAGAGAUUGACAAGGAUAGGGUAGAGAUUCGUAAACAAUUGUGGGAGAGGGUUCUUAAGAAAAUGUGGGCAUUGGGUCCUCACCGGGUAGGUCCUAACAUCCUCUUGACACCUGAUUCCAAAGUAAAAGCAACUGAUGGUUCUGUUCUCGUCCGGGGUUCCCCUUGCGUGUCUGAGAAGCUGGGAUUUUUGAUCAAAUCUAAUAAUGGCAUUAUAGCUUCUGAGGCAUCAUCUGCAGAAACUCAAGCACUGUACCAAGAAGAAGAGAGUCUUGAGAGCAGUGUUGUAUCUGGAUUCCAACUAGCUACAGAAGCUGGUCCAUUGUGUGAUGAACCUAUGUGGGGUCUGGCAUUUGUUGUGGAGGUUUACAUUUCUCCAUUGAUUGUGCAGUUAAAUGAAUCUGAAAGUUCUCAUCAACCAGAACAAUAUGGUAUAUUCAGUGGGCAGGUUGUGACAGCUGUCAAGGAUGCUUGUAGGGCAGCUGUUCUUAAGAGGAAACCUCGGCUUGUGGAAGCCAUGUACUUCUGUGAGUUGAACACCGCAACUGAAUAUUUGGGCCCCAUGUAUGCAGUGCUUGCUCGGAGGCGGGCUAGAGUUUUGAAGGAGGAAAUGCAGGAAGGAUCUCCAUUGUUUACUGUGCAUGCCUAUGUGCCAGUUGCUGAGAGCUUUGGCUUUGUGGAUGAGCUGAGAAGAUGGACGUCAGGGGCUGCAAGUGCUCUACUUGUCCUGAGUCAUUGGGAAGUGCUUUCUGAGGAUCCUUUCUUUGUUCCAAAGACAGAGGAAGAGAUUGAAGAGUUUGGAGAUGGUUCUAGUGUCCCACGUAAUACAGCAAGGAAGCUCAUUGAUGCUGUGAGGCGGCGAAAGGGUCUCCCAGUUGAAGAAAAGAUCCUGAAGAGAAAUAUAGAGCUUCACUCAUCUUCUGACACUACAGGAUUAAUUGCAGAUAAGCUAAAAUGGGGAAAUUCCCAAGACCUCAACCAAAUUUUAGAAAGACAUCUGGGGAAUUUGAUCUGGUUCUCGGCACUGAUAUUUGUAUCCUAAUUGCCGCUUUUCCUUCAUUCAGGUUUUCAAGUAAUAUACAAAAAAAGGCUAUUUACGUACAUAAAUACACACAUGCAUACACUAGCACCAAUACACGCACAUGGAUGGUAUCAGUCCUGUAGCUUUGGGUGUUGAUAUUGAAUGCACAGGAACCUGUUAUGCAGAGCAAAACCUCUGCUCUAAAUAUGUUUUAGACAGCUUUCUCCAAACAUGGUUAAAUUUCACAAUGCAUAGAAUGUCAUUAAAUUACAUGAACUCGUGUUCUUUCCCUAUUCAUAGUAUCUAUGUUGGUUGCAUUAUGGCUUGAUUAAUAUUUUAAACUUAGAACAACAAAAUAAUCCCCAGAAUUGUUUUUUAUCCGUUCUGCUCUUAUUGCAACUGUUGCUGCCGUUCUAGUAAUUUUUAAUGUUUGUGUAUUUGUUCAUGUGGGGUUGGCAUACAUGCUUGUCACGUAUGGAAAUCUUAAACAUUGACCUGAAUUUGAAGUUUUUUUCAUCAAAAGCUAGCCUGACUAAUACAAGACAAUAUAGUUGUUCUAAGUGCCAUUACCCAAUCCAAAUGUGAGGUGCUAGCAGCAGAUGUAUGCUGGUAUGUACUAUUUUUGCCAAGUCUCUGCGUGUGUUCUUUGUUUGAAGCAUUGAACCAAGAAAAUUGAGAAAGAAAGCCUUGAAAAGAUUCAAGCUUUCAACGGCCUGGCAUUCCUUUGCUUUCUGAUACCACGCAACAGCUCCUCUGCCUCUCUGGAUGAAGGGCAUUGCAAUUCCUCCUGGCUUCUUUAACCCAAGCCAAAGUGUAAAUUAUUCAUGAGAGUGUCCUUUACCUAUACCAAUGUUACCAUGUUUUACGGAAUCCUUGCAUAGGAGAUGGUAAAAUAGCAAAAGUGCCUGGGAAUGUUCAUGUGGAAAGAAAAACUGUUAAUAUUCUUGUCUGGAAAGUUAGCAGAUUCUCGUUUGUAAUCAUAUCUAGUUCAUUAUUUUUUCCUUUACAAAAAUGAUUCUAUCGAAUACAAUUAUGAUAUUCUUAUCUGGAAAGUUGCUGAAUUUUGUUAUAUGGCUUUAGUUGAAAUGAAGUCAACUGUCAUUUGAAUGCACGGUCAGCCUUUUGUUCUUACCCGUUACACAUCAGCAUAUAUAGUUGUCAAAGGUGUGCUCAAGGCACGCUUAGGCUCAAGGGUCAGCUGAGGGGACCUCGCUCUUUGAGGUGUGCCCCUAGGGUGCUAAGGCACACCUCACCUUGAGAGAGAACAAUAAGUUCAGAAAGUUUGCAUUUAUACUGUUGCUUAUUUGGGAAAACAAUAAAACACCCCAUUAUUUAGCUAAAUACUGUUGCUUAUAUUUUAUUUAUGAUUUUACAACUUUGCAUUUAACUCUUUAUAGGUAUAUAUUGAAGAUACUCUGGUGUAUAGGUAUUUUUAUACAGAUUUCUUAAAUGUGCACGUUACGUCUAAAAAGUCUCACACCUUUCCCUCGCACCUCGCACCUAGGCUCCAAGCACUCUGGUGCCUCAGUGCAUCUUGAGCCUUUGAAAAUGAUCCACGUCAGAGUUUGUCCUUUUUGUUUUUUGUUUAUAUUCUUACCCAAAUUUUGUCCUUUGCCAAAUGUUCGUCUCCAUUUUUAAGCCAUGUAUUUACUAUAAUUUGGAGAAGUUCCAUUCAAUGUAGUUCCAGAAACAAAAUUGUUGCAAUAUUUUUGCAAAUUUCACAAAAAUAUUAUCUGGUCACUCUACUUGUAAUCUUUAGAUCUGUGUCUCAGUUCUUGUGUAUUGACUAAGAUCCCCUUUUCCCUAGCAUUCUAGGAAAUUUGAUUUUGUAAAGUUUUCUUUUGUUUUCCUUUUUAGGCCUUGAUACUGCAGGAAUUUCAAUUAGAGAGGAGUGAUGGCUGCAGGACUGCCGUCACAGCACAUGUUGGAACCCUCCACAGUUGCUGGUAUCCUUCACUGGUGAAUACAGCUAAUAUUUCCAUUUGGUACAAGUAAAGCAAAAGAUGAGGAGAAUUCUAGCGGGGCAUGAUCUAUUAGGUCAGAUGUGUACAGAGCUCACUCGAACAAAAGGUCU